UCCCUUAUGCUCAUAACCCUGGUACUCUCA
rnacentral:piRNA from 2 species